rnacentral:ribozyme from 1 species
GGGCGAAGGCCAGCCCCCAGCCAAGAAACCGAAGGGAAAGGUGAAGGGACCCGCUCCGAACGCUCCGAAUGCUCCGAAAGGGAAGGUGAAAGGACCCGGUAAGAACGCUCCGAAGGUUCUGGUCA